GGUGUCUGGCGUGCUGGGCAUCGAGGACUACUCGGUCAGCCAGACCACACUGGACAAUGUGUUCGUGAACUUUGCCAAGAAGCAGAGUGACAACCUGGAGCAGCAGGAGACGGAGCCGCCAUCCGCACUGCAGUCCCCUCUCGGCUGCUUGCUCAGCCUGCUCCGGCCCCGGUCUGCCCCCACGGAGCUCCGGGCACUUGUGGCAGACGAGCCCGAGGACCUGGACACGGAGGACGAGGGCCUCAUCAGCUUCGAGGAGGAGCGGGUGAGCAGGCUGCUCUCAUGGCUGUCCAGGGCUCUGCCCACUGGACCCAGGCUGCCUGGUGGCUCCAGCCGCGGGUGGGGUCGGGGGAGAACUGGCCCCAGGAUGCUUGCUGUCCAGAGGUCAAGGGGGCAGAGUGGGCGAGGGACACUUGCAGAUAGGCCUGGAGAGACGUAACUGCAU
rnacentral:lncRNA from 1 species